rnacentral:lncRNA from 1 species
GUGGGAAGCAAGAUGAUUCCCUGGUAGGCUCCACGGGGUCUCAGUGGGAAAUGCAGGUGGAGGGACACAGCAGCCCUGGAAGUCCCGCGGCGCUGCCACGGGGAGGGCUGGACCACCCACUGCGGUGCCUCUCCCUCAGCAGGCACGCCCUCGUCGGCCUGGUUAGAAAAUCAUCUUUUGGCCUCACUGUGCCAGCCUAGUCAGCUCUCAGCUCCCUGAGUCAGGGAAAGGGGUGGAAAAGUGGACAGUCCAGCAGCGCAUGUUCUAGAACCCUCUGCAGAUGCAGCCAGGCCAGCGAGCACACGCAGGAGGCAGACGGACACCUUCUUGGGUGUUGAGUGGCUGCUCCUGCCUCAGGGCUGCAGAUGCAGGCUCACAGCCCCCUGGUGAGUCCCGGAGUGGCUGCAUCCAAUCUCCAGAUCCUCUGUCUUCCCAUAAAGGAGACUGAACCCGUGGUGGUUUCUAGAUCAAGAUUUUUCUCUGAGUAACUCAGGGUUAUUAUAACAUGCAACCUAUGGUCACUUUGAAAAAGCUAAUGAAAAAGCACUUGGAUUUAACUUUGUGUCACUCAAUUUUGGUAUAAAACAACAACAACAGAAAACCAAGAACACCAAAUUUACCGUAACCACAGUAAAAUACGCAUUUGAAUAUUCCGGUAGGAGGGCAGGCAUCCCCCAGGUCCUGAUAGAUCCACUCCAGCAGUCAGGCCUGUGCUUGGGGACGCGUGGGCGGGUUGAGGAUUGAGACGGUCUCUGAUGAUGCUAAAGAAGUGUUUCCUUUCUCUUUCCCCUUUCCCCCAACAGCUGCGGAUAACCGUCUGGUCCUUGUGCACAAAAUCCGUGUCUUACAUCAAAUACCCGAAAGCUUGUCUGCAGGGAAUCACCUUCACCAGGGACGGCCGCUACAUGGCGCUGGCAGAACGGCGCGACUGCAAAGAUUACGUGAGCAUCUUCGUCUGCAGUGAUUGGCAGCUCCUGCGGGUAAGGCGUCCCCCAGACUGGAAUAAAGUUGUCCUGCUGACUGUGGAGGGAUCGAGUGAAGUAGAUCCUUCCAGAUUCCAGGGGAUCUUUGGUAGGAUAUGGAGCAAGGUGAUGUUGUAUUAACAAAGGGCAGGUGCGCUGCGAAUCACUUCCAGUGGCACCCGGUUGUGUGUUCAGGAGACUUGGUGAAAAGGACGCGUGCCCAGGUGUUUUAAAAGUGAAUAUGCUGUCACAUUUGAGCCCUUUUCCUUGUCCUGUGUGAUGGUGUUUGCGCAUGUGUGUGCCACGUCGGGAGUUGGGGGGACGUGGAAGUUCACCUUGACUGAGGGCCUGCAUUAGGCAGGGCGCUCUGCCAGGUGCCCAGGCACAGAGGGCACUGCCCCCACAGCAGACAUAUGAACACGAUUCCAGCACAAUCCAUCAUUAAGGUAGAGCAACCUCUGGAAUGCUGUCAGAGUGCAGAACCCGGGAUCCAGGCAGUGCUCUGGAAGGGACUUGUCUGAGCUGGGUCUAAAGGAGUGAGCCUGGCCAGGCAAGGAAAGGUGAGGGGGAGAGUGUGCACAUGAGUGCAGGUGCGGGGAGACCAAGCCACCUUCGGGGGCUGGCCAGGCAAGGAAAGGUGAGGGGGAGAGUGUGCACACGAGUGCAGGCGCGGGGAGACCAAGCCGCCCUCGGGGGCUGGCCAGGCAAGGAAAGGUGAGGGGGAGAGUGUGCACACGAGUGCAGGCGCGGGGAGACCAAGCCGCCCUUGGGGGCUGGCCAGGCACUGACGCUGGCAUCUGUGGCGGUGCAGCCCCAGCAGCAGCUCUACAGGGAUUUCAUGCAUUUCCAGGAUAGAGCUGUUGAGAUUUUGUCAAUUUCUAUAUAAGGAAAUUAAGUGCGUUAAGAACAUCAGUCAUAAAUGCAAUUAUUUAUUUACGAAAAUAUUUUCCAAAUUUAAUGUUUCCCCCCCUUCCUUUGGAAGCAUUUUGAUACGGACACCCAGGAUCUCACAGGGAUUGAGUGGGCCCCAAACGGCUGUGUGCUGGCAGUGUGGGACACCUGCUUGGAGGUAUGAAGAUGACCAGGUGACAUGUUUGCUUUCGAGAGCUUUUCCCGGAAUUUCAUGCUUUCUGAAUGCUGCAAUAUAGUUUGCUUUAUCUUAUUUCAGAUAACAAGUUGAGCUUUGUUUUAAAAGACAGGGUCUUGCUCUGUCACCCAGGCUGGAGUGCAGUGGUGUGAUCACGGCCCACUGCAGCCUCGACCUCCUGGACUCAAGUGAUCCUCCUACCUCAGCCUCCCAAGUAGCUGGGACCACAAGCAUGCACCACCACGCCCGGCUAAUUUUUGUAUUCUUUGUAGAGAUGGGGUUUCACCGUGUUGCCCAGACUGCUCUUGAACUUCUGUGUUCAAGUGAUCUGCCAGCUUCGGCCUCCCAAAGUGCUGGGAUUACAGGCGUGAGCCACAGUGCCCGGCCGAGUUGAACUUUUAUCAGCGAGCCAUUAGGUUGACCUCCCAAUUUCCCCUUUUUCCUCAUGCUCUCACUGCCUCUCCGUGACUAUCUCAGUACUAGCUGGCAGUUCCAGCUUUUCCACGGCCACGCGGACAGUCCUGCCAGCUUUGUGCUAUCUGCACCAAUGUCACUCUGCAGCACCCGCGUCUGUGGUGUGUUCCUGGCGACGGGGGUGUAUUCAUUAUUAACUGAAAUGUCUCAUCUGCAGUACAAGAUUCUGCUGUACUCAUUGGAUGGCCGGUUGUUGUCCACGUACAGCGCUUACGAGUGGUCCCUGGGCAUCAAGUCUGUGGCCUGGAGCCCCAGCAGUCAGUUCCUGGCAGUUGGGAGCUAUGAUGGAAAGGUGGGAACCAGUGCAGGGCACUCAGGAAGUCCGACCGCCCAGCGGGCCGGGCCCUGCCUCACCUGUGCAUGGUUUCCUUCCUCAGGUGCGCAUCCUUAAUCACGUGACUUGGAAAAUGAUCACGGAGUUUGGGCAUCCUGCAGCCAUUAAUGAUCCCAAGAUAGUAAGUCUGGAACACGUGUUUCUGCCUGAGCAGGCUGUUGGGGAGGGCGGUGGGAAACUGCUCCUUCACUUUGCUUUCUUGAUUGUGGUUUAUUAUUUAACCGGGCACUUCCAUCACCGUAAACUUGCUACUGUGACAUUUCACGCGUCUGGCCCUGCCCUGGCCUUUGUUCUUCCUCCUCCACGCUGCCCAAAGGGUCUGAAGUGGGCCUUGCCCUGGCCUGUCCUCUGCCGCUGCCACCCCAGUCCAGUUUUCUCCUUUGUGGUCUGUCUGGAUGCAGAUCCCUGUGCUGUACAGAGUGGCCAGGGUCUCCUGCCCCCAAACACUGGGCAUCUGCUGUCGUGCCAGGCACUGUGCUCUGGGCCGCAGCCAGAGAAGAAGAGACAGACCCCUGCACUUGCAGAGUGCGGCUGGAGAGACAGGGAAGGGGCUGGAGAGCUGGGUGUCUCCACGGGGUGGCAGGGAGUGGCCACCAGCGAGGGAUCGCAGGCACAGAUGCUGCACCAGUGAUCAGGGACUCGGGGAGGGAGCGUUCCAGGCCAAGGGAACAGGAAAUGCAAAGGCCCCGAGGAGUGGGCCACGCAUCCAUGUGUGCAGCGGGCACUGCGCUGGGAGCCAGAGACAAAUGCUGCCCUCCUGGUGUUGACCUGUAACCGACAGAGCUGAGUGAAAGGCGGCUUGGAUUCGAUGAAGAGGCCAGUGAGUGGCUGGGGCUGCGCAUGCCAGAUCAGCCACUGCCGGGGAUGCAUCCUGGAGGGGUGUUUAAGUGAAGACCAGGAGGAGGAGCUGCGCGGUGUCUGGGCAGAAAGGGUGUUUCAGGCAGAGGGGCCUCCUGACGUGGCCAGUGGCUUGUGUGGCUGGAGGCCAGGGUGUCUGGACAGGUGAGCCCGAGCAGGGCUGGCCACACAGGUCCUGAAGGUUUGCCUGUGAUUCCUGCAUUCUCCAAAUCCCUUCGCCACACAGCAGCAGAGCAUGCUUUAAAGGCAUGAACCAGGCCAGGUGACUCCCUUACCUGGGGCUCUUCAGGGGCGUAGGGGCUGCCCGCCUUCCACUGAGCCUGGGCCGCUGUCCUUUGCUUGCCAGGCUCUCGGGCACAGAUGCCCCCACCUCGGGUCUGUGUCUGCUGCUCCCGGGGCCUCUGCUGUGUUGGUGCAAGUGUUCUCUGUAUCCUCUUAUCACGGAGGGAAGGCUGAGCCCACUCCCUUGCUGGAUGAUGGUGGCUGCAGUGGUCUCCCGUCUGUAAUCACAGGGCACACAUUUGCUGCCUGUGUCUCAAAGGGUGGGCUCCUCAGCAGGACACGAGAGAGGGUGGCUGGGUGAUCUCAGCUCUCGGGACUGCGGGGUUCGUGCUUCCGUCUCUCCCGGUGGCAGCAGGACCAGCUGUCAUGGCAGGCACACCUGUUGACCAUGCGCUGUCAUGGGCAUUUGCCACGUCCAUCCUUGGCUUCCGGGUCCCUGUCCUGAGCCGGGCGUGGCCACCUUGUGUCUUUCAGGUGGUGUAUAAGGAGGCCGAGAAGAGCCCACAGCUGGGACUGGGCUGCCUCUCCUUCCCGCCGCCCCGGGCCGGGGCCGGCCCUCUCCCGAGCUCAGAGAGUAAAUGUAAGUAGCACAUGUGAUGUCAUUUGUUUUCCUUUUUUAAUGCAAGAUUCCUCGUUGUCCAGAUAAACUUCGGAUGUUCCUUAUGUUUAAAAAAAAAAACUUUUUUUCCCUUCCAUGCUUCCAGCCAGUGUGCCCCUCAGCCUGUUGGCUGGAGGUUGACUAGGGUCUGAAUUGCGCAGUGGGCCGUGAAGGUGCGGCUUCUGUUACUGAAUAUGAGCCCUGGAGACCCGGAUCUGACAGCGGGAGCUCCGAGGGGAUGUUUUUCCGGAGCUCCGAGAAUGAUGUUUUUCAAAGAAACACUUUUCCGUGGGUGGCGCUCAGAGUGGGUCUGGAACCCGGCGGUGCUCCCGAGCGCUGUCUCCGGCUUGAGGCCCGGUUCUGAUGCAGCCUCUUGACUCUGGGCAUUUCCUAUGUGUCUGUUUCCUCAUCGCUGAAAUGGGCAUAGUAAAAGCACCCAUCCCACAGGGGCAUGAGGGCAUCUGAAGGUUGCAGGUAGAGGAAGCGGUGCCCCAAGUGCCGACGGGCCCACCCCGGGGCUCGGUGUGUGCUCAGGAUGGGGGUCAGGACAGGUGCAGCCUGGCACACAGGAGGCGCUCCCCAGGAGCCCAGGGGCGUCCUUGUUCCACAGCCCCUGCUUCUGCUGUGAUGAUGGUUCUUCCACAGCCGGAAAGUCUAAGGGUACUGACGCUGAGGUGGAAGGGAUUGUGAACUCAGAUGCUGGUAGUCGACAGAAAAGUGCUGAGGAGUUGGAGCUGCUGAGAUUGCAGCUAGGACCUGUCCAUGUCCCUCUCCAGUCAGCCCCUGGCACGUGGGGUCCACCCCCCACCUAGUCGGGCCUGGCAGGUGAUGGUGCCACUCUCAUCCGGGGCACUUGCGGGCAGGCCCCUCGCUGCGGCUGCCAGGCUUUGCUUAGCUCUUCCUGCCCUUGGGCCGCACUUUCCUCCCCUUUGAACAGAGGAGCUGGGUUCGCGAUGCCCGAUGCAGGCACAGCAGCCUCUCAGCCGCGUGCGUACUUCCCGAAAGGGUGACAAUGGCGUGUUCUUCCUGUUGGUGUUCUAGAUGAGAUCGCCUCUGUCCCAGUCUCCUUACAGACACUGAAACCUGUUACCGACAGAGCAAACCCGAAAAUCGGCAUAGGAAUGCUGGCAUUUAGUCCUGACAGCUACUUCCUGGCGACAAGGAACGGUCAGUUGUGCUGACGCAGGUGCUGUCUCACCCUUUACUGUGUCCUGUGGCCCCAGGUGUAGAAGCGACUGGAAAAGAAAAUGAAGUUGGGGGUUUCCGACACGUCACCUCCUUUCACGUUUCUGCAGUAGCCGAGGUGCUCACAGAAGCUCCUUGGAGGCGCUGGGCCUUUGUCCUGCAGCAGCCGCAGGUCCGCGCAUGAGUCAGGAGGCCUCCACCCUGCUCACUUGCUCCACUCUGCUGAGUAGAAAGCAGGGCUGGGCACACUGCAGCCCGCCUUUUGUUAAGGGUUUCUCCAUUUGUAAAGGGCUAAAAAAAAAAAAAAAA